AAUGAUUCAAGCUCUGACAAAUUACCUAAAGAUGAUGGGAUAGGACCUAUUAAACAGUUAUGGGAGAGGUUUAGGACAAUAAGUAAAUGAAGCUCACCAAGUAUUUUUGGAAUUUCUCCCCUGAAUUGGUUACUAGAAAGGUCAAUAACCGUCCAAAUGGAUAAUAGUGUUUCAAACUUUAUUUCCAGCCCUUUUGCUGUAACAGAUAAACCAUAAGCAUAAUUCACCCAAUCUGGACCAAAUGCAUCUUUCGUGGGCUUUACUUCUCUCAUGUAAUUUGGUUCAACUUUCUUUCCAUACUCAUCUCUAAUGGCAUGCAUAUGCUCAAAAAAAGGAGUAGGUAAGUAGCCACUAAAAUUAUUGUGAGAAAGAUCAAUGAUUCGCAAUUUAGUUAAAGAAACUGUAAUAUCAAAGCUCUCUAUUUGGCCGUAAAAUCUAUUCGACCUCAAAAUAAGAACUUGCAGCUGAUCCAAAUUUCCUAACCAACUUGGGAAAGUGUCAUUCAAAUUGUUGUUUCCAACAUUGAGAAGAUUUAAACCUUUGCAAUUACCCAAAGAUCGUGGGAGUGACCCUUCUAAUUCAUUGUUGUUGAUGUGUAAACUUUUUAACAUGCAACCUUUAGCAAAAUUUUCUGGUAUUUGACCAUGAAAAUUAUUAUUCCCUAGAUAAACUGUUGUGAGAGAAGAACUCAAGUUUCCGAUGCACUUUGGAAUUGUACCCUCCCAAUUAUUCCCAUCUAAAGAAAUACCCAUAAGGGAAGUCAAAUUGCAUAUUGAAGAAGGGAUUUCUCCAAUUAAGUUAUUAGCUGAAACUGCAUACCAUUGCAAUAAAGGUGGUGGUGUUGGAAUUCGACCUUAGAGAUAAAAUUGAAAAUGAGAUAGAAUUAGGAGUAUGAAGAUUCUUUGGAAUAUAAAUUAUAAAAUAACUAUAUUUAUGAUGUAUUACAUGCAUGAUUAAUUUACUACACUACUUCUAACCAUUUUAAGAUGCAUCACAACAACUUUUAAGUUGCAAUCUAUUGAAGGAAAUUACUACUAUCUUCCAGAGUAACAAGUAAAAAGGGAUUGCAUAAAUGUAUAAAAAGUAGAAGAAAAAAAGAGAUCAAACUAUACCUAAUAAUUUAUUAUAGAAGAGGUAAUCAUUUAAUAUAUUACUUAUAUUUCAGUUUUUAGUGUUUAUUAUUAUUUUUGGUAUAUUUAUGUAUAUUUUAUAAUUUAUUAUUGGGGUUCGCAGUUCUUAUUGUCAAGAAUAUCAUCUCUAAGACUUGAAUCUUGUUCUCUCCUUAAAAGAACAAUGUGUCUUGCUAUUACACCGAACAUUUAUUAGUGUAAUAUUUAUUAUGACUACAAAUAAUUUUAACUAUCUUUUUAUGAAACUUUAAGUUAGAGGUCAAAUAAAAAAGCAAAUUAAUUGAUAUAGUGUUUAUCAUUUGAAGUAAAGUUAUAAUAUUUUUUCUUCACAAUUGAGUUAUUUUUGUGUUUAAAAUUUUUAUAAGAUUGAGAGUUAAUUGAGAUUGUAGCCUCAAAAUUGGUACUAUAAAAGUCAUUUUUAUGAGAAUACUUUUCUAUUUAACAAUGAUUGUCAAAUUAAUAUACUUUGUUUCUCUCAUAAUAUAAAAUAUGUCCUGAGCAUAAAUUAAUUAAAGAAAUAAAUAAUAAGGCAAAUAAAAAGGGUAAAACUACGUCUAAAUUAUAAUUCAGAAUAUAAAUUAAUUAAUGUAAAAUUUAAAUUUAUUUAAAUCAUUAUUAUUAUCAAAUAAAUUCUCUUAAUAAAAUACUUUUAGUGAAAUUGGAAAUCUUACUUAUAAAUAAUAAGAAAUUUUGCUAUGAGCAAAUAGAAAAUUAGUCAAUAUUGUUAAUCAUUUUCAUUAAUUUAAGAGAUUUUGCAUGCUUAUUCUUAUAUAUAUAUAUAUAUAUAUAUAUAUAUUAUAGAUGUAGAUUAUAAAUUGUAGACAAAUAAUUUGGUUGGGUUAGCUUACAAGACAAGCUUCUAUAUGCUCGCGAUGAGAGGUGUUAGGUCAAGUACGUGGUCCAUGAACAUGUGUUAAGUCUAGAACAAGCUACGUGCUAGCAUGCAUGAAGCUUGUCUAAGAUGUCAUUUCAGUGAAUAGUAGCCGUAUCAUAUAAAUACUAAGUCUUACCCCCAUACAAGACACAAAGAGAAAAUACUCAACAAUUUGGUGCAGUAAGCGUAGUCAAACUUUCGGUCGACAGAGUUUCAGCUUGUAACAAUCAAAAUGGCUCACCCAAAUGAAAAUUUCCCCAUCAAUUUUUUGUCAGGAUAAGUUGGAGCUUCUAGUGCUAACAGUCAACCCAACAAGUCAAAUUUAUUUGCCGGGUGGUUUGCUAAUCGGUCGAAAAAUUUGGGUAACAUGGCUUAUGUAGGAGCUUCGAAUUCUUUGACUUAAAAUUUCCUUUUGGCCAAAGAUUGUCAUUCCCCUCUAGUUAGGAAGCAUCACCAGAGCAAUUUUUUACUAUUCAGGAGUUGAUAAAGAUGAUGAAGAAACAAAUGACCCUGUAAAACUUUAGAUUUGAACAACAAUAGAUGUUUUAGCAAGAGUUGUUAUAUUCGAACGAGGAGCUCAGAAGGAAGGUGUAGUUUGAUAAUUUUGAUUUUCAUAACAAUGCCACCAUGCAAGAAGAAGGUUUUGGUAUGCAUGCAAAAUCGUGGUAGAGUGAGAUGGAUGCUUUGUGAAGAGAUAUAAGGGCUUUACUUCUUGAAUCUCAAGAUAAGGAUUGACUCAUUUAUUCUAAUAAUCCACUGGCUCUUAAGGUGGAACCAUGAGCUUGCCAACUAUUUUUAAGGUUUCGAAGGAUAUGUUUGAAGGAAGAAGGGACCUAUGAGUGCAUCCCAUGCAGUAUAAUAAUUAUAUGAAUGUGCUGGGAGCUUUUGAUUCUGCGAAGUGCAAGGCUUUUUUGAAAACACUCAAUGGGGUGUGAAGGAUUGGUACUUAUCUUUUCACCAGGGCUCCAUUCGUAGUUUCUCUCAGUUGGGUUAGAUGUUCUCGGGACGAUUUAUGGCACAUAGGACAAUUAUUAGCACUCCUAUAGGUCUGAUGUCUGUGAAGCAAAGAGAGGGAAAAACUUUGCAGGAUUAUGUAAAGUAUUUCCAAUCAAUGACACUAAAUACUAAGAACCUCAAAGAUCAGUGGGCCAUUGAUUCUUUAAUUAUGGGUGUAAAAUAUGAGCAUAUGCAGUAUUCUUUCACUAACCAUAGGCCUCAAAGUUUGGUGAAUUUAUAUGAGAGGGACCACAAGUUCGUAGAGGUAGAAGAAAUAAAAAGAGCAGCUUGUGGGACAUUCCAAAGAGAUGAGAGGAAUUUUAGAAACAUGGAUAGAGGUCGCAGUUGACAUGGUCUACUUCCUUAGGCUUUGCGUGUACAAAAUAGAGGACAGCAAAAAAGGCAAACGCAGAGCAAGACGGCUAGAACAUUCCAAAGAUCCAAACUUGAACAUACAUGAAGGUAUGUUCCUCAAAGUAAAUUCGAAUCUUAUACCCCCUUGAAUGUUAUGCGUACCUAUAUUUUGAAUUAGGUGAAGAGUCUAGGUAUUUUACUGAGCCUUCCACCUAUGAGGCAUAGUGUUAGGAGGUUAGGUUCAUGGGACAGAUGUGCUUUCCACAACGACAGGGAGUAUAAAACUGAUAAUUGCUUUUCUCUGAAGGAUGCUAUUAGAAAAGUAUUGAGAAAUGGCGAACUGGAGGAUUUUGCGGCUCAAAAUACUACCUAGUAGGGGUGGAGUUUGCGUGCUGAGGCGAAAGGUAAGUAAUAUUAUAUUGUUGAUAGCAUUAUACAAAACAAAAAGUCACAAAAGUGAGAGAAAACUCAGUCAUCAAUGCACCAAAACUCGUUAAGUUGAUCAUAGUUGAUAGUAUUAUAUUGUAUCUUCUUACAUGGAGAGAAAAGGUAGGUGAGAGAGGGAGACAAAAGACGGUGAGCUUGGAUGGGCCAUUAAGGGGAAAGAGAGGGAACAAUGUCAUGUGCCUAAGUAUUUCUAGUGUUUGAAUCAUUUUGAGUCAUAUCUUUCUUUGAAUUUUUACAAGCUUAGAAGACCAAUGUGACUUAAGUGUUCUCUAUGCAUAAUCUUCCAAAAUUGCUAACAGUUAUACUUAAUGAAUAUUUGUUGAUUCACAUGAUUGUGUCUACUAUAUAUCUAUUUGAUUUAUGUUAACGGUGAUAUUGUUAAACAUUUGGUCAUGUGAAUUAUUUCUAGUUUGUUAGUAAUGUAAAUUUGUAAACUAGUUCCUAUUUACUUUAAAAAGUUUCCAAGACAUUAAACUAUCAAGAUUAAGUUACAUGUAUGAUAAGAAUUAUUAUACCUUUAAUAGUUGAUAACAACCUUCAUAGUAGUAAUAAAAUCCAAGGGACGUCUUCUUAUUGCAUGCUAUGUGUCUAGACUUGGUUUGCUUGAGGACAAAUGAAAAGUUAAGUGUGAGGGAGUUUAGGUUUGAGGUUCUUAUUUACAUCCAUAUUCACUAAAUCUAGCUUGUUUAAAGAAAGGAACCAAGUCAAAAAUUUUUAUUUUGCAUUUUUUUACAACUAAAAUUUUCUUUAUGUUGUUAUGUUUAUUUUAAUCAUAUGUUUACAUUGCUUGGGAAUUACAAGCAAUGACUUAAGUGUGGAGGAGUUUGAUCUACCGUAAUUUGGUGUAGUAGAUUAAACUAGUUUUCGUACUUAAAGAGCUUGGAUAUGAGCAUUUUGGUUAUGCUCUAGUUAGUUUUUGUAUUUUAAUUUUAAUUCAAUAAAAAAGUGUAAAUUGAGUCUUUUUAUGAUCUUAGGGACCGAAUGAGGCCUAAAGGUUGGCUAACAUGCUUAGUAAGUGUGUAGGACACCAUUCAAAGGCAUAGGAAAUCGAGGUUGGUCGCCAUGUUGAAACAUGGGAAUCCAAUGUCGCAACAUAGAGGAUAUAGUGCCAAUAUUCCAAGAUUGUCUUUAAUGUUGCAACAUAGACAAUGGAUGCCGCAACACCCCCCUAAAGCUGAAUAUGGGAAUCAAGUAUACUAUCUUCGAUGCUACGACAUAGGCACUGGGUGUUGCAACACCAACUCUGCAUGGGAACAAAUUACGAGCUGAGGGCAUUUUGGUCCAUACAAUAAAAAUUAACACGAAAGCAUCAACCGACCUAGUGUUAAGGACGAUGACCACCCCUAACUUUAUAAAUAGACUCAUUAGAUGUUUAAAAAAUAAUUUUAGGGAGACAAAAAUUAUUAUUAGGUUUUUAUUCUGUUAUAAGUUUUUACUUACUUAUUUGAUGUUCUUGUAAUCGAAAGGUCCUAUUCCAAAGUGAGAUUCUCCCGAGGGGAGAUUGUUUCGAAGCCACACUUUCAUCGAUAAAUCCAUGAGCAUCUCUUUUCCUUUAUUCUAUUCUUUAUAUCUCUUUCUUUAACAUUGUUUAAUUGAAUGUUUGUGUAAAGUUUAGAUAUCACUAUUAACAGAGUAUUUGGAUUAUAGAGGAUAGUUUAGGUAUCACCAUAAACAAAAAAAAAAUUCAGAUACGUGAAGAAAAAUGACAUAAUUUAAGUACUAAUUUGUGGGUUAAGUCUUAUUUUUUAUAUAAGUAACAACUAUUAAUUUGAGAGUGCUUCUAUCUUUUUAUACAAAAUAUUUUCAUUAAAAAAUAAUAUAUACACAAUAAUAUUCAUAACUUUUUCUUGAAUGAAAUAAUAUUCAUAACUUCAAUUUUAUUUGGAAAAAAGUGUACAUAAAUAAUAUUUGCCAUGUAUACACAUGGAUGAAGUGUAUAAAUGGAUAAUCUAUUUCAGAACAUCUAACCUUUAUAGAUGCAUGAGAAUGACUCUAAUUGAUUCUUAUGGUGUUACAAAUUUCUUAGCUAAAAAAAUAUAAAUAUAAAAUGAAAAAUAUGAGAUUAUAAAUAGAUGUAAAUUUCAUCAAAAUCUUGAUAUUUUCUUAUGAGUUAACAUUUUUGAAACUUUUUCUUGAUAUCGACUUUUUAUUUAAAAACGAAAAUGGGAGUCACCACCAAUAAUUUUUUAUAAGGUGUGAUCGGAUCACCUCGUAAAUUGAUCGCUUUAAUAAACGGUUUGAUUUACUAAAACAAAGAUUUUUGGUCUACAAUAUUUAUAACUUCAACUUUAUUUGGAAGAAAAAUUGGAAAUAAAUAACAUUUGCUAUACACAUGAAUGGAGUGUAUAAAAUGAAUGAUUAAUUUAUUUCGCAACAUCUAACCCUUUGUUAGUUGCAUGAAAAAGACUAAUUCCUUCGUAUAGCGUUAUGCAAUUCUUAGCUGAAAUUUUAAAUUUAAAAUGAAAAAUAUAAAAUUAUAAAUAGUCAUGAGUUAACAUUUUUGAAACCUAAAUUAUAGCAUAAUGUGUAGUUUUUUCUAUCAUUAUAAAUUAUGUUAAAUUUUGUUAAAUGUAGUAAUUUGCAAUUCAAAUUAAUGAUAUUUUUCUUAUUCUUAUGUUUUUCUAAUUUCAAUUAAAGGAUUAAAUGUGUAAUUAAUUGUUUUUAAGCCAAAAGUCUUAUAGUAAAAAGUUAAAAGAUUGUAAAGUUAUUUAGUAAUAUACAACAAGAUUCUAUUAAAGUAUUAUAACAGUAACAACAAAAGGGAAAAUAAAGAUGAUAUUAUACCUGUUAAGUUGUUAUCAAAAAGACUGAUCAUCAAGAGAGAAGUAAGGUUUCCAAUAACCGGUGGAAUUUCACCUAAAACAUAUAAUUAAAAUCAUUAAAAUUUACUUACAGAUCUUAAAAACACAUGAUACUAUUGCAUACUAGAGGUGAUCAUGGGUUGGGCGGCCUGGCCCGGCCCGACGGCUCUCUCGAAAUAUGGGAGGGUUCGAGUAAAAAUUUAGGCCCGAAAUAUGGGUUUGGGUAAAAACUGAAGUCUAUUUAAAAAACGGGCUAGGUUUCGGGCAAAACUUUUUUGGCUCGGGCCCAGCCCAGCCCAAAUAUAUAAUAAAUAUAUAUUUUAUUUUUAAAAUACAUUUUCUGUUUCCCAUUAGACAUUUAGUAUUUAUAUAAUAUAUAUUUUAAUUUUAAAGUAUUUUUAAAAUACUUUUUAUUUUUAUUUUUAAAAUACAAUUUUGAUGUUUAUUUAAAAAAAUAGGCCGGCUAGGAUUGGACUUAGGAAUUUUUUCCCGGGCCAGGCCUGGACAAAAUUUUAGGCUCAUAUUUCGGGCCGGGCCGAGCCCGGGCCUACGACGCGGCCAAAAAUUUUUUUUGGGCCCGACCUGACCCAUGAUCACCUUUAUUGCAUACAAUAUGUUUCCCUAAACUGCUUAUUAUUUAUCUCUCGCCACAAAUUAUCAAAAACACAUUUUCAUUUUAAGCCAAACAUUUAUAAUAGUGAUAAGCGCGGUAUUGAUUAAUAAUAUAUAACAACUAAAAAGGGAUUGCAUAAAUGUAACAACAAAAAGAAAAAAAAAUGAUAUUAUACCUGAUAAGUUGUUAUAAGAAAAAUUAAUAGCUUCAAGAGUGGUCAAGUUUCCAAUAGUUGAUGGGAUUUCACCUAAAAAUAUAAAUAAAUGGGUCAAAAUAAUCGACGGAAUUUCACCUAAAAUAUAAUCAAGAUGAUAUUUUACCUGUAAAGUAGUUAAGACCAAGAUCGAUCUCCGUGAGAGAAAUAAGGUUUCCGAUAAUUGACGGAAUUUCACCUAAAAUAUAUAAUUAAAAUUAUCAAUUUAUUUCACAAAAAAAACUAAAAUUUAUUAAUUAUUUUUAUAAUAAACCUUAAAAUCGUCAAAAUCAAAGCUACUUCAUGGUUGUAUUUUGUGAGGCUGUGGGAGUUGUGUAAAGAAGAGAAAGAAACAAUAACAGUAGGUGGUGUUACCAACGCAGGUAAGAAUAAGUUUCUCUGUAAUCAAAGCUACAACUCAUGUACUCUAUUUCUUUCCUAUUCAAUAAUAUCAACUAUGGCUUAGCAACAACUAAAUCAAGACAUAAACAAUAAGGCAAAUCUAAAAGGUAGAAGGAAUAGCUAAUUAGUAGUGUGUGAUUCAAAAGGGUAUAAAGUAGGUCCAAAUUAGUUCAGAACAUAAAUUCAGAACAUUGUUUCCAAAAGGGUAAGAAAUAGGUCCAAAUUAUAAUUCAGAACAUAAAUUAAAUUUUAAUGUAAAAUUUAAAUAAAAUUUAAAAUUCUUUUAUUAUCAAAUAAAUUUCUUAAUAAAAUUCUUUUAUUAUCAAAUAAAAUUCUUAAUGAAAAAAUAAAACAUCUAAAAAUAUAUGUCUUAUACCAAGAUUCUUAUAUUUUUCUAAUAUGUCACUUUAGUUAAUUAAAGCAAGAACAAAUAAAGUUAUGGAUGAACAAAUAUGGGAAUCAAAGAAAAAUGAUGGAUCAAAAGGGACGAAUAAGCUAAUUUCUGCCAUAAGGUAGAUGGUGAACUUAGGAUGUGGAGUUCCAAUAAAUACCUAAACAUACCUAAACUUUUGGCAAUUCAAAUAGAUUAUACUAAUUUUUAAUAACAAAAUGGAGAAUAAAAGAAACAUGAAAUUAUACCUGUCAAUUUGUUAUUGCUAAGAUAAAGUAUUUUGAGAGAAGUCAAGUUUUCAAUAACAAGAGGAAUUUCACCUGAAACAUAUAAUUAAAUCAGUUAAUAUUUGUAAAUAUUUUCCUAGCAAAACCUUAAUUUAUUUGUUGAGCAUAUUAGUGUCUGUUUGAUUUACCUAUUUUUUAAUAUGCAAGUUUUGUUUAGUUUUAUAGUAUUACGACAACCCAAAAAUAUUUUAAUUACAAUACUCAAAUUUAUAGUUGAAAUGAUGAUGAAAAUUAGAUGAAAAUUUAAAUUUAAAAUGAAAAAAAUAAAAUUAUAAAUAGAUAUAAAUUUUCAUCUAAAACUUGACAUUUUUGAAACCUAAAUUAUAGCAUAAUGUGUAGUUUUUUCUAUCAUUAUAAAUUAUGUUAAAUUUGGUUGAAUGUAGUGGUGCCAACGAGUUUAAUAUUCAAAUCAUCAUAUUGAUAUACUGAAUUUAAGUAAUUUGCAAUUCAAAUUAUUGAUAUUUUUCUUAUUCUUAUAUUUUUCUAAUUUUAAAGUAGUUAAAGGAUUAAAUGUGUAAUUAAUUGUUUUUAAGCCAAAAGUAUUAUAGUAAUAUAAAAAGAAAAUAUGAGUAUAUAAAGAAAAUAAAAACAUAAAAAUGUUUUAAAAAGUUCUUAUUAGUACUUAUGAUAACCCAAAAAUAUUUUAAUUAUAAUACUCAAAUUUGAGUGUAGUGGUGCAAACCAGGUUUAAUUACUUCAUAACAUCUUACAUUUUCUAAAUGCAUUAUAAUGCUCUAAGGUUUUAAUCUUUUAAGGUAACUUUUAUUUUAAUUACUUAAAAAGAUUGAAUAAAUUUAAUAACAAAAAGGAGAAUGAAAGAAACAUGAAAUUGUACCUGUUAAUUUGUUAUUACCAAAAGAAAGCACUCGAAGAGAAGUCAAGUUUCCAAUAACAAGAGGAAUUUCACCUGAAAUAUAUAAUUAAAUCAGUUAAUAUUUGUAAAUAUUUUCCUAGCAAACCCUUAAUUUAUUUGUUGAACAUAUUAAUGUCUGUUUGAUUUACCUAUUUUUAAAUAUGCAAGUUUUGUUUAGUUUUAUAGUAUUAUGGCAACCCAAAAAUAUUUUAAUUACAAUACUCAAAUUUAUAGUUGAAAUGAUGAUGAUAAUUAGAUGAAAAUUUAAAUUUAAAAUGAAAAUUAUAAAAUUAUAAAAAGAUAUAAAAUUUCAUCUAAAACUUGACAUUUUUGAAACCUAAAUUAUAGCAUAAUGUGUAAUUUUUUUCUAUCAUUAUAAAUUAUGUUAAAUUUGGUUGAAUGUAGUGGUGCCAACGAGUUUAAUAUUCAAAUCAUCAUAUUGAUAUACUGAAUUUAAGUAAUUUGCAAUUCAAAUUAUUGAUAUUUUUCUUAUUCUUAUAUUUUUCUAAUUUCAAAGUAGUUAAAGGAUUAAAUGUGUAAUUAAUUGUUUUUAAGCCAAAAGUUAUAAUAGUAAUAUAAAAAGAAAAUAUAAGUAUAUAAAGAAUAUAAAAACAUAAAAAUGUAGAGCAAUAUAAAACGAUGUUUCAAAAAAGCACUUAUUAGUAGUUAUGAGAACCAAAAAUAUUUUAAUUAUAAUACUCAAAUUUGAGUGUAGUGGUGCAAACCAGGUUUAAUUACUUCAUAACAUCUUACAUUUUCUAAAUGCAUUAUAAUGACUUUAAGGUUUUAAUCUUUUAAGGUAGCUAUUAUUUUAAUUACUUAAAAAGAUUGUAUAAAUUUAAUAACAAAAAGGAGAAUAAAAGAAACAUGAAAUUAUACCUGUCAAUUUGUUAUAGCUAAGAUAAAGCUCUCGAAGAGAAGUUAAGUUUCCAAUAACAAGAGGAAAUUCACCUGAAAUAUAUAAUUAAAUUUCUACCAUAAGGUUUUGUAUGUAGGUAUAAGGCAAAUCAUAAGGAGAGGAAUAACUGAAUUUAAUAAAUUUUAAUCAUUCUUCAAUAUCUUUAAAAUUUUCAUUCCAAGGAUGUAGGCACAACAUCCCUUGAUUAUAAUGUAAAAUUUCCAAUUUCCACAGGGAUACUUCCACCCAAAGAGUUGUUAUAGAAUGAUAAAAAUGUUAACUCCUUGAUUAAACUAUUUGGAAUUCUACCCGAAAUCUUAUCGCCUCUCAACUUUAAGACUUGCAAUUUAGAUAGGUUAUCAAAUAUUUUUAAUGGUAGAUGACCUACAACGAUAAUAUUGUUACCUAGUUUUGACAUUUCUAGUUUUAAGAAAUUGCUUAGGGUAGAUAGGGAUAACACCAGUGAAGUUGUUACUAUACAAAUACAAGCUUUUAAAUUUCAGAAAUUAUUGUUACCAAAGUUGAAAUAUUCUAACCGAUGCAAACUAGUGUACUCAAUGGGUAAACAAACAUAGAAACUAUUGUUACAUAUGUUGAGUUUGGCAAGGAAAGAAGAUUUCCAGUUGAGAUGGUAUGGUGUUUGUGAAAUCCAUACCUAAUGCAUCAAGAGUUGUGAUGUUUGAAUUUAUAAGUAAAAGUAAUCUAUGAGAUUUUAGUGCUAUAAGGUUGAUUUGAGUAACGGUGAAAUUAGGUAGGGGAUAAGGCUAUUCAGAGAGGAGGGAAAUAGCUGAGUGUAAUACUUAUAUCAUGUUCAAAAUUCUACAAAUACUUUGAUUCUAUGGAUUAAGGCAUAGAACCUGACCAUUUGAGAAAGAAUUAGCCACAAUUAUUGGGCUACAACCCCAAAACAGGGGACGCCUUAACAUACCCACAACUAAUGUUCAAUAUUCUAAUGUUCAAUAUUCUAUAAUAUAUAUAUAUAUAUAUAUAUAUAUAUAUAUUAGAUUUUAUGUGGAUUCUUUAAAGUUCAAUAUUCAAAUUAUUCAGAUUUCCAUCAUCAAAGUUGAAUAGUUUGUAAUUCAAAUUAUUGCUCUCUUUUUACUUGUACCAAUAUUUCCUAUAUUUUUCUUAUGUUAAAAUAGUCAAAGUAUUAAAUAUAUAAUUAAUUGGAGAGAAGUCAAAAGCUAAUUAAUAAUAUAUAGGGAUUGCAUAAAUGUAACAACAAAAAGAGAAAAAAUGAUAUUAUACCUGAUAAGUUAUUAUAAGCAAGAUCAAUAACUUUGAGAGUGGUCAAGUUUCCAAUAGUUGAUGGAAUUUUACCUAAAAAUAUAAAGAAAUUGGUCAAAAUAGCUUGGUGCUAGAAUUAUGUUAUCUUUGUGUGUGUACUUGUUUUUAAGCCAAAAGUAUUAUAGUAAGAAGUUAAAAGAUUGUAAUUAAUUAGUAAUAUAUAGCACCUGGUGGAGGAGGGAAAAUACCAAAAUGAGCUUUAUAAAAUGCAGUGUUGCGGGAACAUAGAAAGUUGACAUCAAUGAGUCUCUCAACUCCACAAGUGUUUGCGCAAAAAUAAAAACUAACAAUAUUUAAGCACAUGAAAUGCAAUGAAAACAAGCAAACAAACAACAGUUCUCAAGAAACAAAGUAAAUGCAACCUAAAAAAAGUUUGGUUCUGCUAGCACUGAACUUAGUGGUUAUUGUUGAUGGAAAUUAGAUAAAAAUGAAUGAAACAAUAACCAGACAUUGUUUACCUUUGAAAUGGUUGAUACCAAGAUGCAAAGUCUUGAGCAAAGUCAAAUUUCCAAUUUCUGUAGGUAUAUUUCCCUCCAAGGAGUUGUUAAACAAUGAUAAAAACUUCAGCUCUUUGCAUUUGAAUAAACUAUUUGGAAUUCUACCCGAAAUUUGAUUCCCACCCAAGCUCAACAUUUCUAGUUUUGACAAAUUGCUUAGAGUAGAUGGGAUAACACCAAUGAAGUUGUUAAGGUACAGAGACAAUGUUUGAAGUUUACUGAAGCAACCAAACCAUAAUGGGAUUUUUCCAUUGAAGCUAUUGUUACCAAAGUCUAAAUAUUUCAUCCGACGCAAAUUAGUUAACUCAACGGGUAAAGAGCCUUGGAAACUAUUUUGAUGAAUAUCGAGCCAAGCAAGGAAAGAUAGAUUUCCCAAUUGAGAAGAAAUGGUGCCUAUGAGAUCCAUGCUUGACAAAUUCAGAGCAGUGACUCUAUAGUGUUUAGAUCCACAUGUGACACCAAUCCAGCUACAAACGGAGGUAGAAGUAGACCAAUUGGUUGUCAAGAAAUUGUGAGGAUCAUGAGUUAUAUGAGAUUUGAGUGCUAGAAGAGCAGAUUGAUCAACGGUGAUGCUAGAAUAUUUUGCAGACAAAAUAACCCCAAAGGUUGCAAAUAGCAGCCCAAACAUAAACGGAGGGAGGAAGCUUGGUUUUGCCAUAAGGGUGGAUAUGGGUGUAAGGCGCAUCAUAAGGAGAGAAACAACCGAGUUUAAUACUUUCCUAAUGUUAGUUCAAUACUUCGUAAGUUUAUAGUAAUUCCAACUGCGAGAUGAUCAAAAAUUCCAAUUGGCAAUUGGAAUAUGAGAUACGAUGUUUAUGUUCUUUUUCAUUUUUAAAUAUAAUAAAGGCGAAAUUGACAGAAGGGAAAACUUUCUCCUUGGUUUAAAAGUCCAGAUAUCAAUUACAAGACAUAAAAAACAAAGACAAGUAUUGGGGGCCAGUAGAUGAUAGUGAGUGACACUAUUUGAUCUAGUCUAAUUAUUACAACAUGUUUGAUUGAAACUAUUUUGUAAGCUCUGAUUAAAUAAAUAUUGAGAGGAAAAAACUUAAAAUUUCUUCUUUUCCUUAGCUAUAAAAUUGAAUUUCUAGUUUGGAUUACAUGCCUUUGGUUCUCAUCUCUAGUUAUGUAAGGCAGAGUCGCUGUUAGUUGGAUGGACCUACAUUGAAAACAUGAAUUGAAAAGAUAAGUAAUAGAAACUUUGUCAUAUUUAGACAAAUAUCAACCACAUCUUUAUUAACUUUUUACAUUUCUUAUCCCAAUAUUCAAAACCAAACAAUACAUUCAUUGCAUGUUCCUUUUCCCAAAUAUCAUUUUAUUUAAUGUCAUUAGACAUUACUCUGUUCUUUUUUCUUUGUGAUAAAAAUUAUUAAACAAAAAAUUAUUACAAAUGUUGUAGGAAUCUAUCCUUUGAGAUUGUUUGAUUCUAGUUUUUGACAAAUUGCUCAAAGUUGGUGGGAUAAAACAAGUGAAUUUGAUGGUGUUCGGAAACAAGCUUCGAUGUUUAGUGAGAUCAAAAUUUGUUGGCAAAUUAAAUUCCUCAAUGGGUAAAUAUCCAUGGAAGUUACUGUCCCAGAGUGGGGCUGGACUUGGAUGGUGUCUGCGAGACUCAUUUUUAUCAAAUUCAAAGCAGUGGCAGUAAUACCGAUUAAAUUACAACUAGAAAUAAAAACAGAUCAGUUGGCUUGGUUGCCAAGAGGUUUCGAGGGUCAUGCUUGUUCCCUAUCAUCCCAAGUACUACUAAGUCAGUACCCCUCUAAAUGGGGAGAACUUUGUUGAUCUUUCAUUGGUUUAGAAGUCCAAAUACCAAUUGCAAGGCAUCAAAACAACAAAGACAAUAUUGGGGACCAGCUGAAGAGAGUGAGUGACACGGUUUGAUUUAGAGUCUCAUGAUUGCAACAUGUUUGAUCGUGAUCCUCAACUUUGAUUGUAAUGUCUAACAAAAGAAAUACCCAGAUGAGAAGACCUUUUUUCUAUAAAAUCUAAAUUUCUAGUUUUGAAGACAUGUGGUUCUCAUCUCUUACUUGUUCUGCACGGCUAAGUCGCAGUUGCUUCGAUGGACCUAUGUUGGGGAACAUGAAUUGAAAAAAAUGCCAACAAGUAAUAGAAACUUUGUAAUAUUCAGAUAGAUCAAAUUAAGCUUUUUGUGGACCAUUCUCAAAUAAUUAAUUUGGCAAUCCUGAAUCUAACAAUCUAACCAUUGAGUUUAACAGUAUAAUUAUAAUUGCCUUGCAUUUAAAAUUUUGAAUUGAUCUAAUACCUCUAUCAUUUGGGUCCAAAACUUUGUUUAUUUCAUAUAUAUUAUAUAAAGCAAAGUUUUUAAAUAUUUUUGAACGUAACUAAGUAAGCAUGUUUCUUCUACCGCGAGUCAAAACUUUGCAGCAAUUUUAGCCAUUUCAUACACUAUAUAUCAUUAUAUUCUUACCUUAAUUAAAGCAUAAUAAUAUAUAUUUUCAUAAAUUUUUAAAAAUAUCAUAAAUUUCCAUUGGGAAUUUUGUUGGUGUAUUCUAAAUUACAUAAUAAUAAGAAAUAUGAAAGAUUUCCAUAUAUUCUCGCCUUUUAGUAUAAGUAAUAAUAAAAAUUUUUGUUGAUUCACCUUUAUUAUGAAAAUAAAAAUAAAAAUAAAAAAUUACAAAAUUAGAACCGUAAAUCAAUUUUGGUUUAAAAUUUUAAACCUACAUAUUAAAGAUAUCCUAACAAAUUUACUUUAUAAGAGCACAGUUUAUGGAAUAAUUUUUAUAUCCAAUCAAAGGCCUUUCAUUCUUAUAAAUAUCGGAAAUUACAAAGUUAAUCUUUGUGUAGAAAAUCUGAUAGGUAAGUAGCAUAGCAUCCAUCUAAUAGAUUAGGAAAUCUGUAGUCUUGAGAUGGAAUAGAUUUUACGGUCACAUUGGCAACCUUAAAUUAUAAUCUUCUUUGAUCUCGUUUGCAUAACAUCCAUCUAAUUUUGAGAAAUCUGCACUUUUAAUUUCAAAAUUGUAAUUAAAUAGGUUUAUCCAAUUAAAUAAUAAUAAUAUAUGGCUAUGGUGAUGUCUAUAAUUUCAUAAAAUAAUUACUCUAAUCUAAUCCAUGUCUCUUCCUUUCUGAGUUUAUCAAGCAAUAAAUUCCCUUCGAUUUCACCUAACUUGUUAUAAUAAUGUUUUCUCAAAUUAGUUAAAGAAGAAAAUUUAUGAUGUUAUACUUAAAUUGAAUCUUUCAAUUUAUUAGGAAUUGAUUUUAAAUUAGAAAGAUCAAAAUUUAAGUAGAAUCACUUAGGGAUGCUAGUGGGGCAAGUUUUGCGGGUCCCGCCCUACUUCGUGCUCAAUUGACAGUAGGAUGGGGACAAAAAUUAAACCCGUUGUGAGUGGUGGGGUAGGCGUGGGUAUGACCUUGUACCUACCUCAUCCCCACCUACCCCAUCCCAUCCCGAAUAAUAUAAUAAACAUAUUUAAAAAAAACAUUUAUAUAAAAUUAAUUUAAUAAUUAUUUUAAUAGUAUUUAAUUUUUGCUCUUGUGUUGCAUUUGAAGAUAUUUAUGAUGUAUUUGAGAUAUUGUUUGUAUUUUGAUAUUAUGUAAUGACUUUAUUUUUUGAAUUUUUAAACUUGAAAUUAUAUCUUAUUUAAAAAAUUAAUGGUGGUAACGACUUACUUUUUUUAAAAAAAUAGUGACAGUUAGAAUAAUGUCACAUAUGUGGUGGGAGUUUGGAGGAUAAAUAUUUUAUACUUUUGUCACAAAAAGUUGGUUUAUAUUUAUUUAAGUGAUACUUAUAAAUAUAUUAUACGAAGUGGGUCACAAAAUUGUGUAAGUCAAAGUCUGUGUAAUUUGUAGUAAUGCAUACCAAGAAGGAAUCUUCGGCCCUCUCUCUUUCUAUCUUUGUCUUCCUCUCAUUUUGGUGUUGUUUGUUUGGAUGUGUUUUGUCUUGUGUUAAUCUGAUUUGUUUUGUUCCAGUGAUGUUAAGCCUUUGACUAGUAAUAUGAGUAAUAUUGGGCAAACCACAAUACACGGUAAAGAAUGAAAGCCAGAGAAAUGCAAGACUGCAUGUCUACACCAUUAUUCACUAUUCAACAAUACAUUACUUAUUUUUUUCUUUGUGAUAAAAUUUAUUAACAACAAAUGCUAUGCUUGUUUUAUGGAUAAAGUAAUGUUUAUUUAAUAUAUCCACAACAAUAUCAGUCUGAUUUACUGAAAAAUAUAUAUAUCCACAACAAUAAAUGAAUUUCCAGUUAUACGUCUCAUUCAAUAAUAAUAUUUUCACUAUUACCAAAUAUUUUCUCUUCAUCCAAUUUUUUGUCACUUGGAUAUCACGAUACCCUAGGGGAUAUUGCGAUACCACUGCUUCAUGCCUUGAUCCCAGAACUAAUGGGGCUUUCGUGAUUCCAAUGCCCUGAUGUCAUGAUACCACUGCUUUGGAGAUGUUUUCGCAUGAUUUCAGGCCUCCGACAAGUACCUACAACACUCGAUCAAAUGUUAGGUUCCCCAAUUACACAAUUGGCCAAUUUCGGUAUAAAAAAUGAGUAAAACAAGGCAAUUUUCACUUAUUCAAUUGAAACAUAAAAAAAUAUUAAAAAACUACGUAAAAGACACAAAAAUGCUUGAAAACAAGCUCUUCAAGUAUAACGGGGAAUUUUAAUUUUACAUAUUAGAUUACGACAGAUCACACCCCUGUUCAGAAAAAUGAAAUGAAGAGGCUGAUUCAGAAAAUGUUACAAGCAAGCAUCAUUAAAGACAACAAUAGCUCAUUUGCUUCUCCCAUUAUCAUGAUCAAGAAGAAAUAUGGGAAUUGAAGACUGUAUGUUGACUCCUGACAACUCAACCAAGUUACCAUAAAAGACAAGUUUUUUGUUCUAGUUAUUGAGGAAUUGUUGGAUUAGUUGGGACAAGUUGUGUUCUUUUCUAAAUUGGAUCUCAAAUUGUUAUAGGGGAAAAAAGGAGAGCCUAAAAUAGAAGACUUAGUCUCAAGUUGAAGAGUAGCACUAAUAAUUCAAUUGUUGGUUUCAGAAAUCCAGUUGCAACAUGUUUGAUGGUGAGUGACACUAUUUGGUUUAGUCUAAUUAUUACAACAUGUUUGAUUGAAACUAUUUUGUAAUCUCUGAUUAAAUAAAUAUUGAGAGGAAAAGACUUCAAUUUUCUUCUUUUCCUUACCUAUAAAAUUGAAUUUCUAGUUUGGAUUACAUGCCUUUGGUUCUCGUCUCUAGUUAUGUAAGGCAGAGUCGCUGUUAGUUGGAUGGACCUACAUUGAAAACAUGAAUUGAAAAGAUAAGUAAUAGAAACUUUGUCAUAUUUAGACAAAUAUCAACCACAUCUUUAUUAACUUUUUACAUUUCUUAUCCCAAUAUUCAAAACCAAACAAUAAUACAUUCAUUGCAUGUUCCUUUUCUCAAAUAUCAUUUUAUUUAAUGUCAUUAGACAUUACUCUAUUCUUUUUUCUUUGUGAUAAAAAUUAUUAAACAAGAAAUUAUUACAAAUGUUGUAGCUAGGAAUCUACCCUUUGAGAUUGUUUGAUUCUAGUUUUUGACAAAUUGCUCAAAGUUGAUGGGAUAAAACAAGUGAAUUUGAUGGUGUUCGGAAACAAGCUUCGAUGUUUAGUGAGAUCAAAAUUUGUUCGCAAAUUAAAUUAUUCAAUGGGUAAAUAUCCAUGGAAGUUAUUGUCCCAGAGUGGGGCUGGACUUGGAUGGUGUCUGCGAGACUCAUUUUUAUCAAAUUCAAAGCAGUAGCAGUAAUAUCGAUUAAAUUACAACUAGAAAUAAAAACAGAUCAGUUGGUUUGGUUGCCUAGAGGUUUCGAGGGUUAUGUUUGUUCCCUCUCAUCCCAAGUACUACUAAGUCAGUACCCCUCUAAAUGGGGAGAACUUCGUUGAUCUUUCAUUGGUUUAAAAGUCCAAAUACCAAUUGUAAGGCAUCGAAACAACAAAGACAAGUAUUGGGGACCAGCUGAAGAGAGUGAGUGACAAGGUUUGAUUUAGAGUCUCAUGAUUGCAACAUGUUUGAUCGUGAUAUGAUUGUAAUGUCUAACAAAAUAUAUACCAAGACGAAAAGACCUUUUUUCUAUAAAAUCUAAAUUUCUAGUUUUGAAGACAUGCCUUUGGUUCUCAUCUCUUACUUGUUCUGCACGGCUAAGUCGCAGUUGCUUCGAUGGGCCUAUGUUGGAAACAUGAAUUGAAAAGAAUGCCAACAAGUAAUAGAAACUUUGUAAUAUUCAGAUAUAUCAAAUUAAGCUUUGUGUGGACCAUUCUCAAAUAAUUACUUUGGCAAUCCUGAAUUUAACAAUCUAACCAUUAAAUUUAAUUAACAAUAUAAUUAUAGUUGCCUUUCAUUUAAAAUUUUAAAUUGAUCUAAUACCUCUAUCAUUUCGGUUCAAAACUUUGUUUAUUUCAUAUAUAUUAUAUAAAGCAAAGUUUUUAAGUAUUUUUGAAUGUAACUAAGUAAGCAUGUUUUGUAACACCCCCUAACCCCAAACCAUCACCGAAACAGGGUUACGAGGUAUUACCGGAUAUAUCAAACAAUUUACAAAUAAACAUAUCAUAAAUAACCAACAUAUUAAAAUUAUACAAGCAUUCAUAUAAAUUUCACUAAUUGAAUUUUUUUUAUAAAAAAUUCGGCAGCAUUUCUGCUUAUUUUUACAUAAACCCCCUGCAAAAUUUCAAAAUAUAACCAACCCAAUUCAUUUCACAUUCUCAUUUUCUAUUCUAAAUACCUUCUAAUCAAACUCAAUCAACUUAAUAUCAAUUUAAAUUUAUCAAUGUACUAAUUAAAUUGAAAUGGAUAAACUUCUUUCAUUAAAAUUCUUAGACUUAUAAUACUAACAUUUUUAACUAUUUAUAUUCAAAACAUAAUAACAUUUAUACACAUCCUAUGUACAUGCCACAUUACUAAAAGAAAAUAUACAUCACCAAAAUUUGCUGAAGUCGGGUCUGGUUUUUGGAUGCUGGUUCAGUACUUGACUUCUACAACCUGCGCAAGGAAACAACCGUACGCUGAGUAUUUCAUACUCAGUGGUAUUACUAUAAAUUAAACUAUUUAAUAAUAAUAAAAUUUCAAAUAUUGACCAUAAUCUUUAUAAAUCAAUUUAAACUAAAUAUACAUAUUCAUGUAUCAUUUCAUAAAUCUUAAAUUUAUAUAUAUAUAUAUACAUACUAAUUCAAUUCAUAAUUUAACUCAUACAUUCUUUCUCGUAUUUUUCUAUAGUGUCAAAUCAACCAAUUUCAUUUUCAAAUUUUCAUUUCAAUUAUUUACCCUAUUAACAAGCCUCGGACUCUGACAGAUACGCGGAUUCUACCCAAACACACCAGAAUAUCCAACCUAAACACACCUGGAAUAAUAUAAAUCCUCCCUAACACACCAGUAUAUCAUAUCCUCCCAAACACACCAAUAAGUCAUUAAAUACCUCUUCGGAUAAAUCGAAGCAUAUAAUAACAGAAUCAUUUUCUCGGCCGAACUACAAAUCUCCUCAUCACAUCACAAAUCCUAUGGCAUGCCAUUUGUAUCCAAUCUAGUCCAAUAAGUUAAUAGGGUAUUAUUUUACUUUCCAAUUUCAAAUUCAUUUCCACAACAAUUUUAAAUACUCAAACAAUUCAAAACAUCUAUUAUUUUGAUUAAUAUAUAAUUCAAUAUUCACACAUAUUCUUACUUAAUUUCAAAUGUCUCAUGAAUAAAAUUUCAAUAUAGCAUUUAUUAAAUAGAUUAAGUUAUAGUAAUACAAACCCGGAAUACGCGUUUACUCCUCAACGAUCUUUUCUUUUCCUUUGGAUGCCGAUGCCUCGUUUUCCUUGUUAGCUACGAAAAUAAUAAUUAUUUUCACUAUUAAUUUCAGCAUUAAAAAAAUAAUUAUUAAAUUUUAUUCAAUUCCUACUUAUUCCCAAUUUAAUUCUAACUAAGCUUAUUUAUUUUUCUAACUUAAUUCAUAUUUCUUUUCUACUUAAUUUCUUGCCAUAUUUAACUCUACUAUUCAAUAUUCAUAAUUAAACCCUAAUUUAAGGCUUUUUAUAACUUAAUCCCAACUAUAUAAAACUUAUAACUUAGUUUACAAAUCAAUCUUUUUAUCUAUUCUAACUAGAAAUUCUAUCAACUAAACCCCUAAUUUAACAACUUGUUCAAAAUGAAUCAUGUUCAUAAACCUAUGAACUUUCAUAACCUCCACUUAAUUUCAACAAAACUUUGUUUUAAAGCUUCUAAAACAUCAAAAUGAAGAGAAAAUGGCUAAAUUUAGCUUACCAAUUAAACUUAAAGCUUUAAAAUCUCAAUUUCCCCUUUUCUUUUCUUUCCCUUUUUCUUCCCCUAUUUUCGUCUCUUUCUCUGUUUCUAUUCCGUUCUUCUUUUGUUUCUUUAUCUUUUUAUUUUACUUACUUUACUUUAUUUCUUUUAUUUUAACUAAUAAUAUAUUAAAAAAAAUCUUUUACUUAUUAGUUAAGCAUAUAUUUAUUUUUAUUACAAGUGUACCUAUAUAAUUACUACUAUUACACUUGUCUUUAUUGCUUACCAUACAUUUGUCAUCUAUUUAGUUUAUAUAAUAUAAUAUAAUAUAAUAUAAUAUAAAACAUAAAAAUCUAAGAUUUUUAUCACUUAUGCCGUCCCAUUGCCUGUUAAUGGCUUAAUUGCCAUUUUAAUCCUUUUUAUUUUCUAUUAAUCUAUAAUUCAAGUUUUUCCCCUAGUUCAAUUUAGUCUUUUUUCCUAAUUUCCCUUAAUUAAACUAAAUUCAUCCAAUUAAUACCUAAUUAAACACUCAACUAAACUCAUAAUGACUUCAAAUAUUAUAAUUUUUUUAUGACUCAGUUUACUAAGACGGAGGCCCGAUAAUGUACUUUUUCCGAUGCUUGUGAAUUUUGGGUCAUUACAUGUUUCUUCUAUUGCGAGUCAAAAGUUUGCAGCAAUUUUAGCCAUUUCGUACACUAUAUCCAUAAGUUUUUAAAAAUAUCAUAAAUUUCCUUUGGAAAUUUUGUUGGUGUAUUCUAAAUUACAUAAUAAUCAGAAAUAUGAAAUAUUUUCAUAUAUUCUCGCCUUUUAGUAUAAGUAAUAAUAAAAAUUUUUGUUCAUUCACCCUUACUAUGAAAAUAAAAAUAAAAAAUUAUAAAAUUAGAACCGUAAAUCAAUUUUGGUUUAAAAUUUUAAACCUACAUAUUAAAGAUAUCCUAACAAUUUUACUUUAUAAGAGCACAGUUUAUGGAAUAAUUUUUAUAUCCAAUCAAAGGCCUUUUAUUCUUAUAAAUAUCGGAAAUUACAAAGUUAAUCUUUGUGUAGAAAAUCUGAUAGGUAAGUAGCAUAGCAUCCAUCUAAUAGAUUAGGAAAUCUGUAGUCUUGAGAUGUAAUAGAUUUUACGGUCACAUUGGCAACCUUAAAUUAUAAUCUUCAUUGAUCUCGUUUGCAUAACAUCCAUCUAAUUUUGAGAAAUCUUCACUUUUAAUUUCAAAAUUGUAAUUAAAUAGUUUUAUCCAAUUAAAUAAUAAUAUAUGGCUAUGGUGAUGUCUAUAAUUCCAUAAAAUAAUUACUCUAAUAUAAUUCAUGUCUCUUCCUUUCUGAGUUUAUCAAGCAAUAAAUUCCCUUCGAUUUCACCUAACUUGUUAUAAUAAUGUUUUUUUUGAAAUUAGUUAAAGAAGAAAAUUUAUGAUGUUAUAUUUAAAUUGAAUCUUUCGAUUUAUUAGGAAUUGAUUUUAAAUUAGAAAGAUCAAAAUUUAAGUAGAAUCACUUAGGGAUGUCAGUGGGGCAAAUUUUGCGGGUCCCGCCCUACUUCGUGCUCAAUUGACAGUGGGAUGGGGACAAAAAUUAAACCCGUUGUGAGUGGUGGGGUAGGCGUGGGUAUGACCUUGUACCUACCCCAUCCCAUCGCGCAUAAUAUAAUAAACAUAUUUAAAAAAUAAAUAUUUAUAAAAAAUUAAUUUAAUAAUUAUUUUAAUAGUAUUUAAUUUUUGCUCUUGUGUUGCAUUUGAAGAUAUUUAUGAUGUAUUUGAGAUAUUGUUUGUAUUUUGAUAUUAUGUAAUGACUUUAUUUUUUGAAUUUUAAACUUGAAAUUAUAUCUUAUUUACCAAUUAAAGGUCGUAACGACUUACCUUUUUUUUUUUAAAUAGUGACAGUUAGAAUAAUGUCACAUAUGUGGUGGGAGUCUGGAGGAUAAAUAUUUUAUACUUUUGUAACAAAAAAUUGGUUUAUAUUUAUUUAACUGAUCCUUAUAAAUAUAUUAUAUGAAGUGGGUCAUAAGGCAAGUAUAUAGCGGGGAUUAGGUGGGUUUGAGACCCAUGUGGGUGGUAAGGAGAGGAUGAAUUUGAGUUUUGUACCCGUAAUGGGUCACGUGAUGGAGAUGGGGAUGAAAAUUCUUAGCGGGGAUGGGGAUGAAAAUUGUGUAAGUCAAAGUCUGUGUAAUUUGUAGUAAUGCAUACCAAGAAGGAAGCUUUGGCCCUCUCUCUUUCUAUCUUUGUCAUCUUCUCAUUUUGGUAUAUUGUUUGUUUGGAUGUGUUUUGUCUUGUGUUGAUCUGAUUUGUUGUUCCAGUGAUGUUAAGCCUUUGACAAGUAAUACGAGUAAUAUUGGGCUCCAACCACAAUACAUGGUAAGGAAUGAAAGCCAGAAAAAUGCAAGACUGCAUGUCUACACCAUUAUUCACUAUUCAACAAUACAUUACUUAUUUUUUUUCUUUCUGAUAAAAUUUAUUAACAACAAAUGCUAUGCUUGUUUUAUGGAUAAAGUAAUGUUUAUUUAAUAUAUCCACAACAAUAUCAGUCUGAUUUACUAAAUAUAUAUAUAUAUAUAUAUAUAUAUAUCCACAACAAUAAAUUAAUUUCCAGUUAUGAGUCUCAUCCAAUAAUAAUAUUUUCACUAUUACCAAAUAUUUUCUCUUUUAAUAUUUGUUUAGAAAAUAGCGUUCAAGAUGAAUUUAGACAAAUAGUUUAGUAGUAGAUUAAAUUCUUUGGAUAUAUUAACCAAAUCCACACCAGCAAAUUUUACCUAUGAUGGAUUCAAUUGAACAUAUAAAAUAAUAACUUGUUAGAAGGGUUGAUUAAUUGGAAAGCAUAGAAUGGGUUAAUCAAUUAGAAAACUAGAAUUUAUAAAACUUAAGUAUAUAAUUUUAUAUUGGAAUUAUUCAGUGGGAUGAAGAGUAAAUUUCAAGUAGCAAAAGGAUGGAUCCAUCUCUCUCCCUUCCAUAUUUAGUCUUUUUCAAAUCUUCAAGAAUAGGCUGAUGUACAAUUAUUUUACUUUGAAUGCAUGAGUCUAUGGUAAGGAAGGGGUCCCAGCAGUAAGGUAAAAUGGUAAGUGUUGAAACAGAAAAUAAAAGAAAUGUAGCCGCUGUGGGUCUUAUGGAAUUAGUAUGAUUUAACGAUGACGGGGCUUAUGGUGCUUUGGAAUUAUCGUUUUUUUUAAGAUGAUUUGAUUUGGUGAAAGGGAGUGCUUUCGAUGUGGGUAUUUGGUUGCAUCCUUAUUGUUGUACAAAAAACUAGCUAGUUGGAGGAUCAACUUUCCUUUCAAUUUUAAUAAAAAUUAUAUAUGAACUUGUGAACUUGUAUUCAAAUUGAAUCUUUCCAUUGAGUCGCUCUUGCAAGUCAAUGCAGCAAUCAAGAACCAUAUUAUUAAUACCCAGCUAAGAUCGUGGACGUUUUCUACUCUAUAUUUUUCUCCUAAAUGCUUCAUUCCAGUGAAAAGUGCUGCAAUUCCUACGGCAAUGGCACCUCUGCCGAUAAUUACAUGGAAAUACUCCCAAAUUAAUCUCUUUGUGGAAGCGUCCUCCCCAUUAGCAGGUUUUGUCCGGUCUGAGAUAUGCAUUCAUUGGUUGCACAGAGGCAAAAACUAUGGCAGCAAUACCAAGCUUAACAUGUAAUGAGCUGACAUAGAAACCCCGAAGUUCGGCAACUUCAAAAAGAACACCAAGUAGGAUAAUUGCUAAUCCUGAAUAUUGUAGGUAAAUAUGAAUUUGGUACCAUCCAUCACCCUUUACAUGUUUUAGGUAUCUAGCAGCCAAUAUUCCACCAGGAAUCAAAAUACCCCAGGAGAGGAACAGCAUAAACCCAUGUACAGCUUUGACAGGUUGUAAACCUUGCUCAGCGUUGGAAGAACCACGGAUAAGCAGCACUUGCACAGGCCUUUGACUCGUGACAGUAUGCAUGUUUUCUCACUGAGAUGUUCAUCAGUCCACUUUGAACCCAUUGCCCAUAUGACUUUAAGAGGAGUUGUAGGAUCAACAAUGUUCUUGCACUGUGGCUUAUCAUUUUGAUUGCAUGAUGGUUUUAAUGGACGUGUGAAUUCCAAAGUAAUGAUGCCAUCUUCUGACCUGCACCUGACAUGUGUCAGAUUCUCAUUUGUUGGAUGAAUGUUCAAGGGAUGCUUUCCAUCAAUCCAAUAUGUAUUUAAAUGCCCUUUUCCACUAUCGCCAAUCCAGCCCACAUAUGCAUAGCUAUUCACCAUCCCAUUACCGAAACCUAUUGCAAGAUAGCCACUCUUAUUCACACCACGGGCAGCAAUAGUUAUUGAAUCUUCUGAUGACGUCCAAAAGAAAGUAACUUGAUCAUCUAAAAGCACACUAGUGUUAUACAUAUCAGACAGGGCACCAUCAAAAACUUGAACUUUCCAUCCCAUCUUCUCCUGGUACAAGGACUGAUAAUACACUUGAUCGGGGGUAUUCCUAUCGGGAACCCAAAUCAAUUCAUGAGGAUUUGCUACAACUCCUUCCGCUUCUGGCCCUCCAGAAUAAAUAGUCUCAGUUGCAUUCCUUAAUGUAGCAUUCCCACCUAGAGAAUCUGAAGUAAUAUACAAUGCAACAGCAUGCCCUGCCUGCGCCAAAAACUUAACUGGAACCCCUCUUUCCAAUCUCAACACCGGUGCUUACUUAUUAUUAAUACACAAAACCUUAGACGGACUUGGCGGACUUGGAUAAUGCAACACCUCCCCUGUUGUAGCAACAAGGGGGACUUCUGUAUCAGCAAUAAUCAACUAUUGAUCCUCAUUAUCAUCAGCAUCCAAUGGCCAAAACAAUCAUCUACCUUCUCUGAAACAUUAAGCACCAAAUGUCCUUAUGCAACCUUCUCUGGAUCCCCAUGAAAUUGGGGCAAAAAAUGAGACCGAUUUUCUUUCGGUGGUUUCAUCAACCCUAAUGCCCAAAUAACCCUCAUAUCCUCAUUAGGAUACACAGGCAAAUCAUACUUCUUAGGGUAAACUGCAAAAUUAGUCACUUUUGUUUGUCUUAGAUUACAUUUUAAUCACUUAUGUUUGAAAUGUUAUAUUUUAGUCACUUACGUUAUCAUUUUGUUACGAAGUGAUCACUCUAUCGUUAAGCUCUGUUACCUCCCUAAUGGCGGUCCUACAUGGCAAUCCAGAUGGGUUUUAAAUGCCAACUUAGAUGUCUUACUUGGCAAUCCAAAUUGAAUUUAUUUAAUUAAAAACCUAUUUUCAUUCCAGCAACUGGACAUCCAAGUUGGCAUUUAAAACCCAUUUGAACUGCCACGUAGGACUACCAUUAGGGAGGUAAUGGAGUUCAAUGGUAAAGGGACCACUUCGUAACAAAACGAUAACGUAAGUGACUAAAACGUAACAUUUCAAACAUAAGUGACUAAAAUGUAAUCUGAAACAAACAAAAGUGACUAUUUUUGUAGUUUAUACUACUUCUUAUCUGUCGAAUUCAAUGGUUUCCUAAACAUAAUUAAAGAAACCCCAUCUCUCCUAUGUCCAUAAACUAACCUAGUAUUAUUCACCAUCAUGCCAUUUUUCGAAUUCUCAUAAACUACAUCAGGGCAAACACCUAUAGCUGUACGAUCUUUAGAACUCAACUUACAUUCACUAUAAGCCGUAAUGUAAAAAUCAUCAACAAAAGGCCUACCUUCUUCAGUAAAACUUGCCACCGUAACAUCAACUCCUUCGUCCUAUUCGGAUUUGCCCACCCAAAUGCCAUGUAAUAGGUCGUCGGUGUCGCCGCUUCUAACCCGAUCUCGAUCUAAUUUUCCUCCACAUUCAAGUUCCACCGGACCCUAUAAUUAUCCGAUAAGUUCUUGCAGUUAUCAAACACUGUAUGCAUCGAGCCCGAAACCGAAUCCGACCCAUUUCGAGGGAGGGUGACAUGGCCGAAGUCCGAGGUGCUGGCGAUGUCCCAUAUUGAAAGAAUGUUGAUCUGGUCCCAGGUUAUGUCGGGGAGCAAUUGGACUGAAGACGGUGCAUUUUUUGUAAGCUGUUUGAUUGAGGCGUUGACCGGAGAUGGGGAACCCGCUGGUGAGGUCAGAGAAGUUGAAGGAGACGGCGCCCCAGAAAAUGACGUCGGAUGAGCCGGAUAACAUGUCGAAUCCGGUGACCUGGAAAGAGUAGCCAUUGAGGAUUUUGAGAUGGCCACGGAGUUGGUGUCGGACCAUUGUGAAGUUUGAUUCAAACCCGACUAGGGAGCUGAUGUUAGAGCAUUUCUGACCCGAAUCCGCUUUGGAAGAGGCGAUGGAAUUGAUUAGGAAGAGUGGGAUUAGAAGGAAAAUUUUGGAAUUGUACAUUCGAAUCCGGUCGCGGGUGAUUCGAGAAUUUGAAUUCGGUGAUGAUGGAAAAUGAACGUUUUAAAGAGAAGGAAGGAGCCAAUGAGCUGCUGGGUGGUGAGUGGUGACUCGGUGCAGCCGGAGCGAGUUGUCGACUUGUCUCGAUAUUGGUUUAUAAUUUUACUUUUUUUCCUGCUUUUCUGAAAAGAGGAAACUAGAAUCUCUACUAUCAGUUUUUUAAUUUUAAUUUAGUUCAAAUUUUUUAAUUUAGUAGUCCAACUAAUGGAGAAUUUUUUUUGCCAAUUUCCAUAAUGAGAGGACAUGAUAAUUAAAAAUUAAUAUAAUAGUAAAUUUAAUUCUUAAUUUUUACAUUUUGUAUCAAUUUAGUCAUUAUUUUAAAAAAAAUUAAUCUUCAAAAUUUACAAAUUAUCUCAAUUUGAUCAUCAAAAUUUACCUUUUCUUUCCACUUCCUCUGCUACCACUACCAUCGUUGCCUCUAGUUCCGGCUUCUCCUCCACCUUUCUAAAUUUUUUUUUUUCAAUCAUGUUCAAAUUUAAGGCAUUAUAAUUUAUUUUGUGUUAAGUUAGAUGAAGCCUAAGCAAUUUAAAUAUAUGUGCUUCUAUUUUACAAUAAAUUAGGUUGAAAUAGAAAGAGGAAAGGUAUGUUUUUUUUGGGAGAAAGGUGGAGGUGGAGGUAAUGAUGGUAAUGGCACGUGGUGAAGUAGAAGAAAAAAGUAAAUUUUGAGGAUCAAAUUGAGAUUAUUAGUAAAAUUUGAGAAUUAAUUAUUUUAAAAUUUUGACUAAAUUAAUAUAAGAUGUAAAAUUUGAGAGCUAGAUUUAUAAUUAUACUCAUUUUUUAACUACUACAUUACCUUCCAUAGAGAUUUAAAGAAAUAGUUAAGUGAUCAAAUUAAAAAAAAUUGAUAAUUAGGUAACUAAAAAAGAAAAAGGGAAGAUAGUUGGGUGACUUGUGGUAUAGUUUACCCUAAUAAUAAAAUAUAAUAGGGUAAACUAUAGAAUUAGUCACCCCACUAUUAGUGUGUUUCUGUUUUGGUCACCUAACUAUGAAAAUUUUUAAUUUUAUCUCUAUCGUUUUAGAUCAUUUCUAUUUUGGUCACUUACGUUUUAGAGCAUUUUUAUUUUACUCACUCUUCAUUAAAUCAUUAACGAAAGUUAUGAUGUGACCUUUUUUUAAUUAGUAUAAAUAAUACAUUUAGUCUUCAAUGCUUACAAAUUUUAUCAAUUUGAUCCUCGAACACAUAUAAUUAAAUAUAAAGUAUAUAUUAUGAAAACGUACAAAAUAUAAUUAUUUAUAUAUAAUUAUCUAAAUAAUAUUAUAUGUGCUUAUAUUUAAUUAUAAUUAUAAGGUUCAAAUAUGCAUUUAGCUCCUCAAACUUGACACCUUUUCCCAUGUUGGUACUUAUGAUUUUUUUGUCCCAAGUUGGUACCUAAUUUUUCAUUCUGUCAAGGGCUUUGUUACAAUAUUAAAUAUAGGACACAUGACACUCUUAGGAUGCCAUAAUCUAUUUUUUUUUAUAAAAAUAUAAUAAAAAUUUAAAAGAAACUAUAUAAAUAUAUAUUUUAAAAUAUAAAGGAAAUUAUAAAUUAUAAAAAUAUAUGUAAAUAAAAAUUUUAAAAUAUUACAAAAAAUCUAAAAUUCAAGUUGGAAAAAUCGAAAACCUAGAAAAUUUACACAUUUUUCUAAAUAAAUUGCAAACAAAUUAGAUAAAGAUAAAUUUUACAAUAAAUUUUAUGUUUAGAGAUGGGUGCAAAUUAUUACACGAUUUUUCAAGUUAAUAAGAAUGUAAAAGAUGAUGAUUUAAAAAUGGCUUACAAGAAGCUUUUUCGUUGUCCUUUUUUCUUUUUGUUAAUUAUUUGCUAGAUGAUGGGAAAAAUUGGGUUCCUUUGUUGGAAAUGCUAUAAAAACCAAAAAUUUACUAAGUUCUGGGGGUUUUGAGUUUUUGGGUUUAUCAAAAUCACACACACAUAUAAAUUUAUCAGUAUUUAGUUAUAUGUGUUUAAAUAUGAUCAUUUUUUAUAUUUAAUUAUAUGUGUUUGAGAAUAAAGUUGAUAGAAUUUGUAAAUAUGGAGGGUGAAAUUUAUUGAAUUAUUUAGAAUAAGAAUCAAAUUGAUAGAAUAUGUAAGUAUUAAGAAAUAAAUGUGUUAUUAUGCCAGUUGGAAAAGGCAACAUCAUCGCUUCCGUUACCUAUUUAAUGGAGAGUGAUCAAAAUAGAAACAAUCUAAAGUGUGAGUAAACAAAAUAGAAAUAAUAUAAAAUAUAAGUGACUAAAUUAAAAAAUUCAUAGCCGGGUGACUAAUCCUAUAGUUUACCCUAGACGGUAGAAGCAAUUAGGAUUAAUUCCACCAAACAUCUCAAACUAUUACUCAUAUUUUAAAUUGAACCCUAAACUUGUACACAUUCUAAUUAAAUUACUCAAAUAGAAUAUGAUAACAUGUUAUGCUAUUAUUCAUCGAUAAUGCAUAGAACUUAUGCACCAACAAUGCAUCAAAUAUUCUCAUUAAAAGAAAAUGUAUAAAAUAAGUUUUAUACCAUCUAUAAGCUGUAAAAAAAAAAUUAUCCAAUAAAAAAUAUAAAAGUACAUAUCUAUAAUUUCACAAAAAGAGAAUUACAUUAAUCAACCUCACAAAAUAUACAUCUCACAAAUCUGAUUGAGGUUAAAAACAAAGAAUGCAUGCAUGUACUGUGCAAUUAAAACCAUGAUCCAUAUUCAAUUCUAAAGUAUUGAACAUAUAAUUUUGCAUUAUUUUACCUCCCUUGAUUCUUCACACACUCUUUGGAAUAAAUUAACCAUCUAUUCCUUAUUUCAAUUUUAUUAAAAAGUUAGGUUCCCAUAAAGACAAUCUUUACAAACCAGUGCACCUAUCAUAAACACAUCAGGGAACAUUGCCAUGAGAGAGGACCUAAGAAAACAUAAUACAAACUACAAAACAUACAAUCAGGCACCCACACAAAAUGUUUAUUAAACAGCUACAGAACCUGCAUACCACCAAGCAAUGAAGUUUUCUGUUCUGUUUGCAACUUGUUGAACUCGCCCAAGUGUUGGCUUCUCUACCUUUUUGCAAAUCUUUGUCGGGCUCGCUCCACGAUCCUAAUCAACCACCAUGGUUUUCCUGUCGUGAAUACAAUGUAUGCCAUGCUCAUUCCCAGCACCAACCCACAUCCAUACCCCAUCAAUAUUGAAAAUUUCCAAUUCAAUUCAUCACCAUCAUCAUCUCUAUCAAAUUUGGCUGGAGUUUCCUCAUCAGUACCACAGUUUUUUGAUAAUGGCAAACCACAUAAAUCCAAAUUUCCCAUGUAGGAAUCGUUAGUGAAAGUAUCAAAUUGUUUGCCUUGAGGAACGGGUCCCUUCAGAUUAUUUUGAGAAAGGUUUAACACCUCUAAGAAUCCAAGAUUUUUUAACUCUGUUGGAAUUCUUCCUUCCAGCUUAUUUGAUGAGAGAUCUAAUGAUUCAAGCUCUGACAAAUUACCUAAAGAUGAUGGGAUAGGACCUAUUAAACAGUUAUGGGAGAGAUUUAGGACAAUAAGUAAAUGAAGCUCACCAAGUAUUUUUGGAAUUUCUCCCCUGAAUUGGUUACUAGAAAGGUCAAUAACCGUCCAAAUGGAUAAUAGUGAUUCAAACUGUAUUUCCAGCCCUUUUGCUGUAACAGAUAAACCAGAAGCAUAAUCCACCCAAAAUGAACCAAUUGCAUCUUUCGUGAUCUUUACUUCUCUCAUGUAAUUUGGUUCAACUUUCUUUCCAUACUCAUCUCUAAUGGCAUGCAUAUGCUCAAAAAAAAGGGUAGGUAAGUAGCCACUAAAAUUAUUGUGAGAAAGAUCAAUGAUUCGCAAUUUAGUUAAAGAAACUGUAGUAUCAAAGCUCUCUAUUUGGCCGUAAAGUCUAUUCGAUCUCAAGAUAAGAACUUGCAGCUGAUCCAAAUUUCCUAACCAACUUGGGAAAGUGUCAUUCAAAUUGUUGUUUCCAACAUUGAGAAGAUUUAAAGCUUUGCAAUUACCCAAAGAUCGUGGUAGUGACCCUUCUAAUUCAUUGUUGUUGAUGCGUAAACUUCUCAACAUGCAACCUUUAGCAAAAUUUUCUGGUAUUUGACCAUGAAAAUUAUUAUUCCUUAGAUCAACUGCUGUGAGAGAAGAACUCAAGUUUCCGAUGCACUUUGGAAUUGUUCCCUCCAAAAUUUUCCCAUCUAAAGAAAUACUCAUAAGGGAAGUCAAAUUGCAUAUUGAAGAAGGGAUUUCUCCAAUUAAGUUAUUAGUUGAAACUCCAUACAAUUGCAAUAAAGGUGGUGGUGUUGGAAUUCGACCUUAGAGAUAAAAUUGAAAAUGAGAUAGAAUUAGGAGUUUGAAGAUUCUUUGGAAUAUAAAUUAUAAAAUAACUAUAUUUGUGAUGAUGUGUACACUCAAUACAAAUAAUGCAUCACAACAACUUUUAAGUUGUAAUCUAUUGAAGGAAACUACUACUAUCUUCUAGAGAGAAAUUUUUAUUUCCCUUACUUAAAAGUAAAAAGGGAUUGCAUAAAUGUAUAAAAAAUAGAAGGAAAAAAAAAUCAAACUAUACUUAAUAGUUUAUUAUAAAAGAGAUAACCAUUUAAUAUCUUACUUAUAUUUCAUUUUUUAGUGUUUAUUAUUAUUUUUUGUACUUUUAUGUAUAUUUUAUAAUUUAUUAUUGGGGUUCACGGUUGUUAUUGUCAAGAAUAUCAUCUCUAAGACUUGAAUCUUGUUCUCCCCUUAAGAGAAUAAUAUGUUUUACCACUGCACCGAAUAUUUAUUGGUGUAGUAUUUAUUAUAACUACAAAUAAUUUUAAUUAUCUUUUUAUGAAACUCUAAGUUAGAGGUCAAAUAAAAAAACAAAUUAAUUGAUAUAGUGUUUAAAUUUUUAUCAUUAUAUGUAAAGUUUUAAUUAUUAGUUAUAAUUUUUUUCCUCACAAUUGAAAUUUAAAAACGAUAUUUUAUGAAAUUUAAAGAUAACAUAAUUAAUAGAAAAUUGACAUUUUCUUUAGAGUCGGAAUCUAAGUAGUAGCAAUAUCUGUAACUGGUACUUCAAAUGUACAUUUUAUGUUUAUAAUUUUUAUAAGAUUGGGAGUUAAUUGAGAUUGUAGCCUCAAAAUUGGUGUUAAUAAGAAUGUAAAAGAUGAUGAUUUAAAAAUGGCUUACAAGAAGCUUUUUCGUUGUCCUUUUAUUUUAUUUUAUUUGAUAAUUAUUUGCUAGGUGAUGGGAAAAAUUGGGUUCCUUUGUUGAAAAUCCUAUAAAAACCACAAAGUUACUAAGUAAUGGGGGUUUUGAGUUUUUGUGUAACAACCCGAUUUUGGGCUUAGUCGGAACAGUGGUUUUGGGACCACAAAUCUGACGAGGAAAAAUUUAUUCUUAUUAUGUCUUUAUGGUCUACAAUUUCACAGAAUAAUAUCGUGAAAAUUUCGUUCGAAAAUUUUGACGUUUGAGCACUCGAUUUAGUAAAAAGGACUAAAUUGUAAAAAGUGAAAAAAUUGAGUUCUACAUGUUAGAAGUGUCCAAUUGUUAUGAAAUUUUAAAUUAGAGAUCCUUAUUUGGUAAUUAGACUAUUGGUUAAGUUGGUGGACAAAAAUGGACAUGGUUAGGCAUGUUUCCAAAGUUUUUCAUUAAUGGCGUUUUAGUCAUUUUUUUAAUUAAAAUGAAUUAAAAACAAAAUUAAAAGCCAAUUUUUGUCCAUCUUCAAGCUAGGGGCCGAAAUUUUCAUGGAGAAACCAUGGAUAUGGUUUUUCAAGCUUCCAAGCUCGAUUGUAAGUCCGUUCUAGCCCCAUUUUUAAUGCUUUUCACGUUUUUGAAAUCCUUGUAACAUGAUUUAUUUAUUUCUACCAUUUAUUUGAGAUAUGAUGAAGGUCUAGAUUUUGACCCAUGUUAUAAAUUUGUGUAUUUUGAUGGUUAAUGGUAGAUUUUGACCCAUUUAUUUGUGUAUUUUCGGUGAAAAUGCAUAAAAGGACUAGUUUGUAAAAAGAUUGUAAAAUGUGUGUAAGUGUGUGAAUAAGUGAAAAUUGUGGAAUGCUAUAGUUAUGAAAAUGGUUCAGCUAGGCCUAAAAUGCAAAGAAAUUGAAUAAAAUUAUUUUACAAGCCUAAGGGUAAAAUCAUAAUUUUGUGAAACUUUAGGGGAAAAGAUGUAAUUUUUCCAAAGUGUGAUUUUUGGACUAAAUUGAAUAAUUUGAGUGUUAAAUAAGGUAAAUGUGUUAUUAUAAAUUAAGAAAGACGAGAAAUUGACUUUGAUCAGUGAAAAAAAGUGAAAUUAUGAAAGAGUAUAUUUAGCAACAAAAUAGUUUAGAUAGAAAUAGUUGUGUGAUAUUGAAAAAUCACCAAAAAUCGUGUAAAUUGAAUUAGAGGCUGAAUAAUAUAUUAAAUUAAAGCUAAAUGAGUCUAUUUUCACAUAAAAGAGACAGAGCAAGCAAAAGAGUUUUAUAUUAUGAGAUAUUUUAAUUUUAGUGAGAUAGGGCCAGAAUGAUUUCGAAAUUCCCUCUUUUGAAUUUGGAAAAUCAUUAAAAAUUUUACAAAAAUAAUUAGGAGCUAAACUUUAUAUUUUUAGAAUCUUGAAUGAGUAUAGUUUCAAAAUAAACAAACAGGAACAUUAUCCAAAUUCUAUACAAUGAGAUAAUUAAUUUUUAGUGAAGAGGGGUCAGAACUGUCGAGCAUUGAAAUAGGAGAAAAUUUAAAGAAUAAAAUGUACUUAUUGGAUAAGAAAAAAAUAAUGAAAAUUUUAUGGUAAGAAUAUAUAUGAGUCUAGUUUCAGGUAAAAUGAAAGGAUCUUAAUUUGGAGCUCUGUAGCUCGAGAUAUAAAUAAAUUAGUGACUUUGACUCAGACAGACAGCUUGAAUUUACAUACAGGAAAAUAGUGAAAGAAUGGAUAAUGUUGUUUAAAUGUGUUAUACACAUUAAGGAUGUGGAAUGGAGAGGAGGAGGAGGAAAACUGGAAAAAUAUAGGAACGAUUCAUGUAUAAUUGGUCAUAUGCUCGAUUAUAAUUGAUAAAUGAUGAAAUAGAAAUGAUGCUUAUAUUUGUGCAUUAUUGGUCAUGGUUUAAGUUCAUGUGGGAAAAUAAGUUUCAUAGUAUGUGUGUAUGGUAUAUUGGGUAUAUGAUUUUGCAUGAAGUAAUGUCAUGAAUGGUUUAUGAAUUAACACAUGUCGGUAAGUUACGUGUAAAUAAUAGCAAUAUAUUUUUAUAAAUUGUGAAUUAUAUUUGGUAUGUGAAUUAAUAUUGAAUGUGGAAGGAAAAUUGUUCAUGAAUUAUUCAAGUGAUAAAGUGCUUAAAAUAAAGUGUUAAGUGCAAAUUCCUGGUUGAACUUAGGAAUAGAAGUGGAUACAAGUGACAUGUCACUAGAGACUAGUGUUAUAGUGUUACAGUGAGUCCCGGUUGCUGGGUGAUCUAGCAUGUGUUGCAGAUACCUGACAGCUUGUAUGAGCAGGCCCGUGGACAUUUUCAGUGUUAUUGAUUAGUGGUAACUUCGGCUACAUUUCAAUGGUAGCUACAGCUACAUAUCAGUGGUAGCUUCGGCUACAUUUUAGUGGUAUCUACGUCUACAUAUCAGUGGUAGCUUCGGCUACAUAUUAGUGUGACACUUAUGUGCUAAUUCUCUACUUAUUCGUGUAUAUUCCGAAUGUUCAAUGGGAUUAAUAAUGAGUUAAAAUGAAUAUGAAAUGUGGUGUACAUGCUUAGGCUUUGGUCAAGUUGUGGCUCAAUUAUGCCACGUUAAACUUAUAUUUAUGCAUUGUAUUGAUACGUUUAUGUUUUGUGUAAUAUGCAUAGGAACGGGUGUGGAAAGGUAAUGAAUUAAUAAGUUCAUACUUGAAGGGUAAAAUGACGAAAAAGGGGAUGAUGAGUUGAAUUGAUGUUGCUAUUUAAGCUAGAGUGAUAUUUUUAUUGGAAAAUUGAGAAUUUCAUAAAUGUGUUAAUGAAUGAUAUAAUCGAUAUACGUUGAGUUAAAUGUUAAAUACGUAUUAGUAUUGAACUUAAUAACAUUGAAUUGUACGUGAAUUAAAUGGAAAUUGCUAGUGAUAUGAUUUAAAUUGUGAGCAUGAGAAAUUGUGAAUUGAAUGAAAUGGAAAUGAAGCAUUGAAUUGCAUGAGUAUGUAUCGGGUCUCGUAGGUCCUAUUUAUUAUGAUUAUAAUAUUUUGAGGAUAUAUUGUGAAGAGUUAUAAAAACAUGUUAAUAAUUUUAAAAGUUUUAAUUUAGAUGAAAUUUUAUAACUCGGUUAAAUACAUUUACAAGUGUAUGUGUUCUGGUAAUGCCUCGUACCCUAUUUCGGUGUUGGAUACGGGUAAGGGGUGUUACAUUUUGGGUUUAUCAAAAUAACACUCACAUAUAAGUUUAUCAGCAUUUAGUUAUAUGUGUUUAAAUAUAAUCAUUUUUUAUAUUUAAUUAUAUGUGUUUGAAAAUAAAGUUAAUAGAAUUUUUAAAUAUGGAGGGUGAAAUCUAUUGAAUUAUUUAGAAUAAGAAUUAAAUUAAUAGAAUGUGUAAGUAUUAAGAAAUAACCGUGUUAUUAUGCCAGUUGGAAAAGGCAACAUCAUCACUUAAUCGUUAACUAUUUAAAGGAGAGUGAUCAAAAUAGAAACAAUCUAAAGUGUGAGUGACCAAAAUAGAAAUAAUAUAAAUGUAAGUGACUAAAUUAAAAAUAUUCAUAGUUGGGUGACUAAUUCUAUAGUUACCCUAGAUGGUAGAAGCAAUUAGGAUUAAUUCCACCAAACAUCUCAAACUAUUACUCAUAUUUUAAAUUGAACCCUAAACUUGUACACAUUCUAAUUAAAUUACUCAAAUAGAAUGUGAUAAUGUGUUAUGCUAUUAUUCAUCGAUAGUGCAUAGAACUUAUGUACCAACAAUGCAUCAAAUAUUCUCAUUAAAAGAAAAUGUAUAAAAUAAGUUUUAUACCAUCUAUAAUUUGUAAAAAAAUAUGUAUUGAAUAAAAAAUAUAAAAAUACAUAUCUAUAAUUCCACAAAAAGAAUUACAUAUCUAUAAUAUCUUUUUAUAAAUUCAAUUCCAAAUCUCCUGUACUAAAUCAACCUCACAAAUCUGAUUGAGGUUAAAAAGAAAGAAUGCAUGUAUUUUGCAAUUAAAACCAUGAUCCAUAUUCAAUUCUAAACUAUUGAACAUAUAAUUUUGCAUUAUUUUACCUCCCUUGAUUCUUCACAAACUCUUUGGAAUAAAUUAACCAUCUAUUCCUUAUUUCAAUUUUAUUAAAAAGAUAGGUUCCCAUAAAGACGGUCUUUACAAACCAGUGCACCUCUCAUAAACACAUCAGGGAACAUUGCCAUGAGAGAGGACCUAAGAAAACAUAAUACAAAGCACCCACACAAAAUGUUUAUUAAACAGCUACUGAAAAAGGCCUGCAUACCACCAAGCAAUGAAGUUUUCUGUUCUGUUUGCAACUUGUUGAACUCGCCCAAGUGUUGGCUUCUCUACCUUUUUGCAAAUCUAUGUUGGACUCGCUCCACGAUCCAAAUCAACCACCCUGGUUUUCCAGUCGUGAAUACAAUGUAUGCCAUGCUCAUUCCCAGCACCAACGCACAUCCAUACCCCAUCAAUAUUGAAAAUUUCCAAUUCAAUUCAUCACCAUCAUCAUCUCUAUCAAAUAUGGCUGGGGUUUCCUCAUCAGUACCACAGUUUUUUGAUAAUGGCAAGCCACAUAAAUCCAAAUUUCCCAUGUAGGAAUCGUUAGUGAAAGUAUCAAAUUGUUUGCCUUGAGGAAUGGGUCCCUUUAGAUUAUUUUGAGAAAGGUUUAACACCUCUAAGAAUCCAAGAUUUUUCAACUCUGUUGGAAUUCUUCCUUCCAGCUUAUUUGAUGAGAGAUCUAAUGAUUCAAGCUCUGACAAAUUACCUAAAGAUGAUGGGAUAGGACCCAUUAAACAGUUAUGGGAGAGAUUUAGGACAAUAAGUAAAUGAAGCUCACCAAGUAUUUUUGGAAUUUCUCCCCUGAAUUGGUUACUAGAAAGGUCAAUAACCGUCCAAAUGGAUAAUAGUGAUUCAAACUUUAUUUCCAGCCCUUUUGCUGUAAUAGAUAAACCAUCAGCAUAAUUCAUCUCAAAUAUAAUAAAUUUCUUCAUCUUUACUUCUCUCAUGUAAUUUGGUUCAACUUUCUUUCCAUACUCAUCUCUAAUGGCAUGCAUAUGCUCAAAAAAAGGGGUAGGUAAGUAGCCACUAAAAUUAUUGUGAGAAAGAUCAAUGAUUCGCAAUUUAGUGAAAGGAACUGUAAUAUCAAAGCUCUCUAUUUGUCCGUAAAAUCUAUUCGACCUCAAGAUAAGAACUUGCAGCUGAUCCAAAUUUCCUAACCAACUUGGGAAAGUGUCAUUCAAAUUGUUGUUUCCAACAUUGAGAAGAUUUAACCCUUUGCAAUUACCCAAAGAUCGUGGUAGUGACCCUUCUAAUUCAUUGUUGUCGAUGCGUAAACUUCUCAACAUGCAACCUUUAGCAAAAUUUUCUGGUAUUUGACCAUGAAAAUUAUUAUUCCCUAAAUUAACUGCUAUGAGAGAAGAACUCAAGUUUCCGAUGCACUUUGGAAUUGCUCCCUCCAAAUUAUUCUCAUCUAAAAGCAUAACCAUAAGGGAAGUGAGACUGCAUAUUGAAGAAGGGAUUUCUCCAAUUAAGCUAUUAUUUGAAGCUUCAUACGAUUGCAAUAAAGGUGGUGGUGUUGGAAUUCGACCUUAGAGAUAAAAUUGAAAAUGAGAUAGAAUUAGGAGUUUGAAGAUUCUUUGGAAUAUAAAUUAUAAAAUAACUAUAUUUG
rnacentral:lncRNA from 1 species